CACCAGAUUUAUAUUAGAGCCAAUUAGUUUUGAGCAGGAGGUGCUGGAGAGCACAUGGUUCAAGUGGCUGAACCUGCAAAGACAAAGACAAAGGAAGAUGUUGUCCCUGGGCAUAUCUUCAAGGUGACAGAAGUCCUUCUCCGAGCUCCUCCUCCUCCUCCUCAACAACACCAGCAGCAGCAGCAACAGCAGAAGCAGCACUGAGGUCAAGGGGAAGAAAUCUCUGACGCCGGCCACAGAGCUCCCUGCCUUCGCGUGCUCUGAGAUGCUCACGAGGAUCUCGGCUGGACUGAAAACAGGAGGCUCGUUCUUGUCCUCCACCGCCACGGUGACGGUGGCCGUCGAGGUCCACGUCGGCCCGGAUGGCGGCACCUCGUUAGUCACCACCACCAGCAGAGUAAAUUCAGGAGUGCUCUCAAAAUCCAGCUCCUGGGAGUAGACGGAGAGAAAGGAAAUGUGAUGAUGAACUGUGGAACGUUAUCGUUGCUGUCGGAGACGCUGAUGAUAGCGGUGCAGGUGGCUGCCAGCCCCUCGCCCUCCAUGUCAGCAGCCUCAAUGGUCAGCUUGUACUGUGGCUGGGUCUAACACAGGGAGGCCUCCUGCUGCCACACUGAUCAAUCCGCUCCAGGGGUUUAUGGUAAACAUGUCCCCUCUGGGUAUUUGAGGCGUCUGAUUCUUUAUCUGAUACCUAAUUAUUGCAUUGCUCAUCUGUGGGUCGUCUUUAUCCUCCGCCAUCACCUUUAACACGGAGUCGUCUGUUGACAGCAAUACACAAGUGGCUUGAAAUACACAUUAAAGGAAUU